rnacentral:rRNA from 1 species
UAGCAUAUGUUAAUGUUGUUGCGGUUAAAAAGCUCGUAGUUGGAUCUCGGCGGGCCGGGGGCGGUUCGCUCUCUGGCGUGACUGCCCCACAGGCCCGUGUUUUUGGCGGAGGUCGCCGGGUGCUCUUAACCGAGUGUCCUGCGGCGCCGUCAGGUUUACUUUGAAAAAAUUAGAGUGCUCCAGGCAGGCUUGACACGCUUGAAUAGUCGUGCAUGGAAUAAUGGAAUAGGACGUCGUUUCUAUUUUGUUGGUUUUCGGAUAUCGACGUAAUGAUUAAUAGGGACAGUCGGGGGCAUUAGUAUUCAGACGAC